rnacentral:lncRNA from 1 species
GUAUUUUUCUGUUAUUAGUGAUGAUGUCUUUCAUGUACUUAGCAUAAGGGUCCAUCUUUAAAAGAUUAGUUAAAUGGGUAUGCAAAAAAGACUGGCCUAAGCAUUUCAGCAAAGCGUUCAAAUUCUUCAUCAUAUUUUUUCUUAGUUGGUUUGGGUGGAUUAGGCAUGGGUUUUGGAACCCAUGGCUCUCUUUCUUUGCCAUGCUUUCUAGCAACAAAAUCUCUUUUAUCAUAAUGUUUACUCUUAGGUUGUGGGUUAUCAAUAUCAACAACAUGUUCUAGCUCAACAUCAUUAUCU